CCUUUGAUGUACCAGGGCCCCUAACUGGUUACCUACUCCAUCAUCAAGGGGCCGUUUCUGCACUCCAUAACCGUAAACUGACGGGUCCACGAGUGUUGUAGAAUUAUUCAAGUGAGGAAUAUCUCCAAUUUUAGCAGCAAUCUGCCGGACCCGGUGCAGGGCAUCGACGAAGCCCUCGGGCUUGAUCCCUACGGGCGCCGCGCUCUGCCCCUGCGCCAGCUCCGCCAUGACACGCGCCCCGCGCCCGCCCGUUGACGCCGCCGCCGCGCCGUCCCGCCGCUCCGCCCGGGGACCC
rnacentral:lncRNA from 1 species